ACAAAGAUAAAGAUCUGUGUGACAAAAACAUGCAGUUCAAAAGAUAAAUCUAGAUCUGUUCCAAAGUAAUAUUACAUUACAGUGUGUGAAAGUGUACAUUUUUAACCUAAUCUAAUUGUAAAUGCAAGUGACUCACUGAAUUCGACAAAUCAACUAAAACAAAUCCUAUGCUUUACCUUAUGUUAAGUCUUUAUCUAACAUACAUUUCCUAAAGAAUGACAAACUACAUUCAUCUACAUAUAAAUGCUUUAUGAUAGAUGUGAAAGCUCCACUUUUGCAAGUAAAUACGCUCAUUAGUCAUUAAAUGAUCUUUGCCGCACAGAGAAUAUUAUCUACAUUAUGUAAGUCAAACUGUAAAUGUAUAAACAGCUCACACCCUUAUUCUACAAAACAACAGCCACGAUGAUAAUUCACAUUUUAAAUCAUGUGACUCAGAACUUUACAGCUUCUUAUCGCUGAUUUCGUCUCUUUGGCUGAUGACUGUACAGUUUUGUUUUCUGUUUAUCUGAUGCCCUGCCUCUAUUGCACACAGCUAUUGUCUUAUUUCUCCAGCAUCUGGUCUGAAACAGUCAGAUUUUAACUCGGAGAGACUAGGGUUCCAGAGUUAUAUUCAGAGGCUUUUCCUCCUUAAGCUUUGAGCUUAGAUGACAAAGAAAAAAGUGGAGUGAAAAAGCAACGAUUUGCUUUAUGUGGUUACAGUCUACAUUUACCUGUUUUCACUCUCUGUCCCUCUUUGUCUUUUGUUUAUUCUCCCCCAGCUGCUUUUCUAACUUGAUGGAAACAAACGCCAGCCUGAUCAGCAGACUGAUUCAUUGCCGGCUAUUAAUCAUUUAUCAUAAAACUAGUUCUGCCGUUCACAUUAAGGACAAUAGAGCAGCCAUGGGUUUACCCAGGAAACAUAUCAUAUUAAUCACAUUAUCAAAUGUAGUGGGUUGGUCAUUAAUUUAGGGUUCUGCCCUUUAAGAUGACAUUCUAAGUGGACUUUAUUAAUCAUAUCAUAUACUACCUGCAGCAGGUUUCCUUGUGUUCAACGUGUUAUUCACAAAUGAAAAGGAAAGAACAAUUAAACAAGAAAUUAAAUUGAAGAUUUAUCAUCCGUAUACUGAGACUUACUUUCGUGUUGUAUUUGGCUCAUUGUGGUGCCACUUUUCCAACUGGUGAAUUCUUCAUCUGAGAUUGAGGCUUUAUUUAUAACUCCAGCUCUAGAGGGCCCUGUAGUCAGAGGUGGAGACCACUUCUGUGCCUCUAUAGCGUGACUGAGCAGAACGCAGCUGUCAAGAGGUGUGGAAAGGCCUCUCUGCUGCUCUCAGCUGCGAAAACAGUUAACAAGAAGCCACUCACACAUGAACACCCACACAAGCAACGCAGAUACAGAAAGACUUGUUGCUGUACAAUACAAUACCUUGUGACUUCUAUUAGUUGACAAAUAAGUCCUGAUAAUGUCAUAGAUUAUCACUAUGCCCUACAGUUAUGAUAAAGGUAUAGCUUGAAGAAAUCCAUAGUACACACGUAGCUCUUGUGCAACAUUAGGCAUAACAAAAGCUGUAGCUUACUGCAUUUGCUUACCUAAAUGAAGCCAAAAAUCAAAUUUACAGCGUGAUGCAGAAGAUCACACACAGAAUUGGCGCAUACACCGAUCAGGAACAUUUUGACCACUGACAGGUGAAGUGAAUAACACUGAUCAUCCUGUUACAAUGUAAAGUUUAUCUGGGAAACCUUUUGUCUCGACAUUCAUGUGGAUGUUUGACAUGUACCACACACUUAAACAUUGCAGAUCAAGCAACCCUCGAGCCCCCAUGGCAACAGAAGUCCUUGAUGGCAGUUGCGACCCUCAGCAGGGCAAUGCACCCCGACACACUGCAAACACUGCUCGAGAGUGGCCCAGGGAACACGACAGAGCUGAAGUGUUCACCUGGGUUUCACACUCCCCAGGUCCAAAUCUUAUUGGGCAUCUGUGGGAUGUACCAGGAUAAGCCUGACCCACAGAAUUCACUGCCACCAUCCCAGUGAUACAGGACAUCCCCAGAGGUCCUGUGUCCAUGCGCCACUGGGUCAGAGGAGUUUUAGCAACAUAAAGGGGACCAACACAAUAUUAGACUGGUGGUCAAAACACUUUGCCUGAUCGGUGUAUAGCCUUUAAAUAUAAAGAUACUGCAGAUAUUCAAACGUAUCAUUCGCAGUAACAACUUGACAACUUAGGCAAGUUGUUGCUUCAGUACAUGUUACGUUGCACAUUGCCUUUGCUGAUAAAAUUCUGAAAUUUUUUUUUAUUGUAUAAGAAAUAAAGGGAGUAUUAUUUCACCACCACCGUACCACAAAGUGAAAUGACUCUGAAAUUACUUAUCAAGUAAAUGUGCUCAAAGUUUAACUGAGGCACUGGCCAUUGGAAUACGUUAGUAAGGCUGCCUAGCCUUAUCAUGAAAUGUGAUGGAAAAAUAAUAAAUCAGGUAUCAUUAACUUUUCAUGCUAUCUCAGCUGUUCUGGGGAAACUUAAGUGUGUCAUUCAGUGAAUCGGACACAUUUUGCAUAGAUAUUUAACCUGUCUUUGAACACACUUGAAUCACAGCAUGAAAUAAGUGAGUUCCAGUGCACAGAUUUGGUUUAAAGUAAGUAUAUAUACACACACUGUUCCCUCUAAGCUGCUGACACGGUCUCCGUGUACAGAAAAUCUGCGCUGUGCACAAAAAAAAAAAAAAAUCCAACCUAAAUUGUAAAUAAAAUAAACACACAACAAUUCAUUCUGUGCUAUUUUUCAGUGUGAGUCAGUGAGUGACCGGUGACUGGCUGUUGCAGCCAAUGAUGCGAUUCACAUACGUAUUUACCAUAGACUGUAUAUAAUGGUAUUUACGCAUCUAAUCAACGUCAGGCGUCCUUAUGUGCAGCUACCGUUGUUGUCAUAGAUAUGAAUGAGUAGAUAGGACACGCCCCCUUUGAACUGCGUGCUACAGCGAGGCUAAGCUAGUGAUGGAAAAGUUUCAGUGCAUUCCGUUGAUGUAGACGGCAUGAAAACGGAAACAACAAGUAUGCCGGCUCAUUGUGCUGCAUACAAUUGCACACUGCGUCGUACGAUUGAGACAAGGAAACUUGGAAUGACUUUUUAUAGGUUUCCCAGAGACUAUGGGUUGAGGAGGAAUUGGAAGUUUGUCGGCUUAGACCCGGUGUCAUUCCAUCAGUGUUUAACUUCCCGGCUCAACUUGGAAGAGUACGUGCCAGAAAGACCAUGACCAAGCAGCCUUGAGAUCUUAGACAGCGUCUCCCUGAGCCACUGGAACACAUCUCCAAAGUUCUGCCAGGCCAGCUCAGCUUCCCCUCAGAAGAAGUGCCGCCACCUGCCAGAUGAAGGAGCCUUUUGAGAGGCAGCUGGCAUCAUGAUUGGACUGUACUUUGGUCUGUUCCAAUCCAGCUUCAGCUCCAGAGACGGCAGGCGGGACGAGUCAACGGAGGCCGAGUGGACGAAGGCAUGCAGCUGAGUACAAUCCAGAAAACAACAGAGGAGGAGUGCAGGGCCAGAACAAACAGAGUAGCAUCGUAUGACUCUUAGAAAACAUCAUAGUAUAGCCUUUGGGAUGAAAAAACGCCAUCAUAUACAUCGUAUAUUGUACAAAUAAGUCAAAGCAAAGAGACAUACAUUGUAGAAUUGUAGUAAUUGUGGGCUGACUGAUUUACUGAUUAUCAGUAUUUUAUUUUUUACUGAUUUACGGUAAUAAAUACAUUUCAAAAUGG